AUAAUACUCCCUCUGUCCGGAAUUACUUGUCACCAAAAUGGAUGUGUCUAGAACUAAAAUACAUCUAGAUACAUCCAUUUCAAUGACAAGUUUUUCGGACGGAGGGAGUAGUAG
rnacentral:pre_miRNA from 1 species